rnacentral:rRNA from 1 species
UUCGUAGGCGGUGCGGCAAGUUGGGAGUGAAAUCUCUGGGCUCAACCCAGAGGCUGCUUCCAAAACUGCUGUGCUUGAGUGUGAGAGAGGCUCGUGGAAUUGCAGGUGUAGCGGUGGAAUGCGUAGAUAUCUGCAGGAACACCCGUGGCGAAAGCGGCGAGCUGGAUCACUACUGACGCUGAGGAACGAAAGCUAGGGGAGCAAACAGGAUUAGAUACCCUGGUAGUCCUAGCCCUAAACGAUCAGGACUUGGGGUGCCGCCCGUUCGGGCGUCGUCCCGGAGCUAACGCGUUAAGUCCUGCACCUGGGGAGUACGGUCGCAAGACUGAA